rnacentral:pre_miRNA from 2 species
UACAUACUACCUUCGUCUAGAAAUACUUAUCACAUGAAUGGGUGAAUCUAGAUGUAUUUUAGUUUUAGACAUAUCCAUUUUUAUCAAUUUGUGCGACAAGUAAUUCCGGACGGAGGGAGUAUGUC